GAUGAACGCUGGCGGCGUGCCUAAUACAUGCAAGUCGAGCGGAAACACGAGGGUCUUGAUCCUCUGACGGUAGCGGGGGAAGCGGGUGUGAAACGUGUAUGCAACUCCUCUUUGACUGGGAUAAAGCCGGGAAAACGGCGAAUAUAUCGGACGAUAUAUUGUGGCGUAGGGUCCCUUAGUUAUUGACGGUGUUGCGGUUAGUGAUAGGUGGUCGGGCGCCGCAUUAGGUAGUUGGUAAGGUAACGGCCUACCACGGCGACGAUGCGUAGCAGACCUGAGAGGAGGGUCGGCCACACUAGAACUGAGACACGGUCCAGACUCCUACGGGAGGGAGCAGUGGGGAAUGUUCCGCAAUGGGCGGAAGCCUGACCGAGCCACGCCGCGUGAGUGAGGAAGGCCUUCGGAUCGUAAAGCUCUGUUAUUAGGGAAGAACAAGAGUGGAAUGAAAUCUGCCCGUCUUGACGGUACCCAAUGAAUAAGCACCGGCUAACUACGUG
rnacentral:rRNA from 1 species